AAGUGGAUAGUGAAACCUGGUGGCUCAACCAUACAGACUAUUAUUCAAACUGACAAACUCGAGAACAGCAGAGGUAACUGGAAUUUCUGAAGUAGGGGUAAUAUCCGUAGAUAUCAGAAGGAACACCAAUGGCGUAGGCAGGUUACUGGGCUGUUUCUGACACUGAGGCACGAAAGCGUGGGGAGCGAACCGGAUUGGAUACCCGGGUAGUCCACGCCGUAAACGAUGGAUACUA
rnacentral:rRNA from 1 species